rnacentral:piRNA from 1 species
UGAUUAAUCGUCUCUCUGUGU